rnacentral:rRNA from 1 species
AAUAUUGCAAAUGGGGCAAAACCCUAUGCCACCAAGGCCCCUUGAGGGAGUAAGCCCUUUGGUCCGCAAAGCCCUUGCCUUGGGGAAGAAUAAUGACCGGUACCCUUGGGGAAACCCCCGCUUACCAACGUGCCUGCAGCCGCGGUAAUACGUAGGGGGCAAGCGUUAUCCGGAAUUAUUGGGCGUAAAGAGUGCGUAGGUGGUUUUGUAAGCGCGGGGUGAAAGGCAAUGGCUCAACCAUUGUAAGCCUUGCGAACUGCAAGACUUGAGUGCAGGAGAGGAAAGUGGAAUUCCUAGUGUAGCGGUGAAAUGCGUAGAUAUUAGGAGGAACACCAGUGGCGAAGGCGACUUUCUGGACUGUAACUGACACUGAGGCACGAAAGCGUGGGGAGCAAACAGG